UACAGAGGGUGCAAGCGUUAAUCGGAAUUACUGGGCGUAAAGCGCACGUAGGCGGAAAUUUAAGUCAGGGGUGAAAUCCCGGGGCUCAACCCCGGAACUGCCUUUGAUACUGGGUUUCUUGAGUUCGGAAGAGGUAAGUGGAAUUGCGAGUGUAGAGGUGAAAUUCGUAGAUAUUCGCAGGAACACCAGUGGCGAAGGCGGCUUACUGGUCCGAUACUGACGCUGAGGUGCGAAAGCGUGGGGAGCGAACAGG
rnacentral:rRNA from 1 species